rnacentral:lncRNA from 1 species
UCUAUCUGGUCCCAACCCCUUGGCGCCAGCUGGCAGAUCUCGUAGCUAUAAAUACUAAGAGAAAAACCCUAAAAGGGGGGCUUCUUAUUCUUCUUCACAUCACCUUCUAAAAGUAGAGAGAAUACAUCAUUGUAAGGUUCUGAACCUCUCUAUGGAGAGGCAGACCAAACCCCAUCAUUAAUAAAAGAUCUUCAUCCUCCCCCCUUUAACAUAUAACUGUUGUCUCUUAUAUCUUAUUCCUUUGGUCUUUGGAUUUAUUACGAUCUGCUAUGAUUAGCCCCCAUUUAUUUUGAUUGUUUUAUGCUUAUAAAGUAAUUAAAACUUUGAGCUAAACAAGCAUAACUUGGAAUGUUGGAACAGGACCUAAAUUCGCAUGCAAAUGAACGAGAAAUGCCAAUCAAUUGUGUCUCCGUCAUCUCCCCUAUUUCUGGGUCCAGCUCCAAUCAUUAAAAAGUUUAUUAUACAAUAACAACUAUCCAGUAUAGUCCCACAAAGUGGGGUUUGGGAAGGGCAAUAUGUAGACGAGCCUUACCCCUAUCCGAAAG